CCAACUUUCUCCGACAGUUGAAGUUGCAUAAAGAACAGUAGGUGGUGCUUCUCUUUUGCUACGAUGAGAUAGCUGACUUCAUCUAACUAGCAAAUGUUGUCCAGGCUACGUUGGUGAUACAGUUUUUUUUAGUGUGUAUGAUAUUUUUGUCAUGUGAUUUUAAAGCCGGUCCUACAAGCGCAUCCAAGAAUAACAUGCAGCUUAUCUCAGAACUGUCGGUGAAAAUUAUUCUUGGAGCUAAGUUUAAUUGAGCUGCAUUUUAUACAGGUGCAAUUUCACAAUUUGUGUAUAUUUUCCAAGUUCACUAUUUCGUCAUGUGUUGAGAAAAACAGAUUGAAAAAUUACAUGGUCUAAUAUUUACAUUUAGCAUAUAACUACAACAUUCUUUUUUUGUUUUUUUUUGUUUUUUUUAAGAGUCGAAAGGACUUGAAAUUCAAAGUUUCAGACUUGUGACUUUACUCGGACUUUUACACCAAUGACUUGAGACUUGACUCUGACUUGCCUGACAUUACUUGAGACUUGACUUGUGACUUGAGGAUAAAGACUUGAGACUUACUUGAGACUUGGAAAACAAUGACUUGGUCCCACCUCUGUUAAUAAGCAUCUAACUCCUCAGGAGAAACAGAGAAAGACAGACCAGCAUAGUAGGGAAAGCAGAACUUAGCAGCACAGCUUAAGGUGCACAGAGAGUUCAUUCAGAGGCCACCCACACAUAGAGGAAAUGAGGGUAUGUGCAGGGAAAAUAGAAAUAGAAUUUGGGGCAGAUAACUCUACAAGGAGGUGUUUUUAUUGAAACUGUGCAUGAAGAAGGGAGCAACAACACACUAAGAAAAACAGGAUAAUCUGAUGCUGAAUGAGGAACUCUGAAAGAAGUAUAAAUGUAACAGAUCCAGGGACCGCCCCUCGGAUCUGCUUAGGCUGUUAUGCUGUGCACAUCCCCUAUGUACAUGGUGAAAUAAAGAAUUGCUGAACUGAAUUGUUCUGUUUCGAGUUUCUUGUACCAGGUCAGGACCAAAGGAUCCAGGAGGGAAUCUGAAAUCCCAACAGAGAAUAAAUUGCGACUAGUCUCAAUGGCUGAUAUGGAGGAGCAACACAGCCACAUGUUAACCCCGACUGCUGAAGUUCCUGUAGGAACUGAACAACUCUGAAAAUCCAAGUAAAAGCUGAGUGUAUUUUAUUUAAAGCUCAGAUGGAACUUGAUGGACUAACAUGCUGCAUUCAGGACUUUAUGACACUGGUAAUAAGAGUGCUAAUGAGAGAGUGUGCACACACAAUGUGUCACUUGAUGCUUGCUCUUCUCCAGCCUCUGGUGUCACUUUGUAGUCAUUUGUCUUAUUAUUGUCUUAUUUGUUGUGAUUUAGGCUCUGUGGGCACAAGCAGAGGUUUUUGCUUGGGAAGUAACCAUGAGCUGGUUUUCAGGGGCUUCUCUAAUAUUUAGUGGACGUGAAAUAUGUCAAACUUUUUCCUCUGUGCAUUAAGGAUUUUGAACUAUGAUGUUUAAGUGUUGUCACUGCUGAGGAUUCGUGGACACAGAUCUUUAUUCACUACGCUGCUGUUUACAUUUAACUCUUCAUCAGAACAAGCUCUUCUAAUUGUACUUUGCUCCUCACUGUCUUUGAAAAGCAAGAGCUGACAAAACAAGUCCAGUAAAUGCACUUUUAUCUUUAAGUUUGGAACAGUAUUAAUCCAUUUGUGUUUUAUUUAUCAUAUGUGGAAAAGUCCAGUCAGCCCUGUGCAGAGAGGGCUGUGCUCAUCCAUCCGUCCUGCUCUAAUAAACCCAAAUUUCAGGAACACCUUCUUUAGGUCUGUUCAGCUUUAUUCAUGUAGCAUCACUUAAACAGUCAACAAAUCUUGACUCAAAGCACGUUAUAUUGUAAGGUAAAAAGCCCAAAGAGUUCAUCUCAGACAAAUGUUCACACAAAUGUGAAUUACAUUCACUUCAUUGAUGAAGUAAAUGCAAUUCAGUAAUCGAAGGUGUUUGGCUAUAACUGACUACAUGUGUAUACUGUAUCAUAAGUGGACAGACAUGGAUGUAAACCA